GUCCUUUAGAAAAUAAUUUAAGGUCUAACCUGCCCAUUGAUUAGUUAAAAGGCCGCAGUAAUUUGACUGUGCAAAGGUAGCAUAAUCAUUAGUUUUUUAAUUAAAAGCUUGUAUGAAUGGUUGGACGAGAUAAAUUCUGUCUCUUAAUAAAAUUUAGAAUUUAAUUUUUAAGUUAAAAAGCUUAAAUAUUUAUAAAAGACGAGAAGACCCUAUAGAUUUUUAUUUAAAUUUAUUUAAUUUAUAUAAAGAUUAAAAAAUAUAUUAAGUUUUUUUUAAAAUUUUAUUGGGGUAAUAAAAAGAUUAAAAAAAUUCUUUUAUAAGUUGUACAAAAAUUAUUGAAUAAUUGAUCCAAAAUUUUUGAUUAUAAGAUUAAAUUACCUUAGGGAUAACAGCGUAAUUUUUUUGGAGAGUUCUUAUCGAUAAAAAAGUUUGCGACCUCGAUGUUGGAUUAAAAAUUAUUUUGGGUGUAGAAGUCAAAUUAUUGGUC
rnacentral:rRNA from 1 species